UGAGCAACCUGCCCCUGACUCUGGGAUAACCCCGGGGAAACCGGAGCUAAUACCGGAUACGACACGCGAAGGCAUCUUCUGCGUGUAGAAAGAUUUAUCGGUCAGGGGUGGGCUCGCGGCCUAUCAGCUUGUUGGUGGGGUAACGGCCCACCAAGGCGACGACGGGUAGCUGGUCUGAGAGGAUGGCCAGCCACAUUGGGACUGAGACACGGCCCAGACUCCGUACGGGAGGCA
rnacentral:rRNA from 1 species